rnacentral:rRNA from 1 species
CCUACGGGUGGCAGCAGUGAGGAAUAUUGGUCAAUGGGCGCGAGCCUGAACCAGCCAAGUAGCGUGAAGGAUGACUGCCCUACGGGUUGUAAACUUCUUUUAUAAAGGAAUAAAGUGAGUCACGUGUUCCUCUUUGUAUGUACUUUAUGAAUAAGGAUCGGCUAACUCCGUGCCAGCAGCCGCGGUAAUACGGAGGAUGCGAGCGUUAUCCGGAUUUAUUGGGUUUAAAGGGAGCGUAGAUGGGUUGUUAAGUCAGUUGUGAAAGUUUGCGGCUCAACCGUAGAAUUGCAAUUGAUACUGGCGGUCUUGAGUACAGUGGAGGCAGGCGGAAUUCGUGGUGUAGCGGUGAAAUGCUUAGAUAUCACGAAGAACUCCGAUUGCGAAGGCAGCUUACUAAACUGCCACUGACAUUGAUGCUCGAAAGUGUGGGUAUCAAACAGGAUUAGAUACCCUUGUAGUC